GCCGAAGUGGCGGAAUGGCAGACGCACUUGACUCAAAAUCAAGCGUCCUCUGGACGUGCCGGUUCGAGUCCGGCCUUCGGCACCA
rnacentral:tRNA from 2 species